CUUCAGUGAUGAUACGAUGACGAGACAGAUCAGGACUCAGUCUGGUUCUGUGGUUUCUGGUUCAGGUCCACGUUCUGUGGUUCUCCUCUGGUUCCUCAGAUCAGAGAGUCUGUUUCAUGUGAAGACACAGAGGCAUUUGUCUGAGAAGG